GUCCGGCGCAGCCAUAUUUUGCACAGGCUCCACCCUCCGUUCCUUGUCCAGGAGUCAGGGGUCUUCUUUUCAAUGAGGAUGCCUUCAUUUCGUCUGUAAAAAGAAGACGAGCGUUGAUCUGGUAGUGAUUCCCGCCGAUCCACCGCCCAACAUUUCUGUUGAUGCUAGCCAUUAAGUGAUAACGAUACAGACAGCAGUACAGCAGCAGUACAACCAUACAGAUAACCAGUGUCACUUUUACUACCAGCCUCCCGUCUAAACCUGGACACCUUGGAGGAUAAAAGGAAUGCUAAGAAUUGCUUUGAUUCAACAAAGACGGAAGAUGGAGCCUCGGAGCUGGAGACUAUGGACAACACUAUCAGCUGGCAAAACCAGUAUGCGAGCCCAGAUAUCUAAAUUCUGCACUGUUUUACAUGUGUUCCUCCAGUGUCAUCGAACUGUUGUCUAGACAUAGAACAUGUGGUAGCCUGAGAUGAGAAGGGACUGUAGACAUGGAGGCUUAUGCAGAGAAGAGGCUCAGUGUGUAUCUGGUGGAUGAAUGAUCCCUUUCCGUUAGAAAUGGUGAAUUUGUUCUGUUACAAAAUCUGUGUGCCACCCCCAGCAUCCCAGUUGUCUGUGUAUUCAUCCAGCCAUGUAUCCGAUUAACAUUUGUUACACACCUACUAUGUGUCAGUGGAGAUCCCCACUGACACACCUACUAUGUGUCAAUGGAGAUCCCCACAUCAAUAGCUCUCCUAAAUAUAUUUCCUUGCCAUAUUUCAAGAUGGUUAUUCUGAGAAACGGCCCACAAAAAUAUGUGCUGAAGACGUUGUUUCCAUCAAUCUGCAUCAGCAGGAAAAAAAAAAAAAAAAAAAAAAACAGCAGGCACAGGCAGAAACUCUCUUGAAGAGUCUCUCCAUCUGCCCAGGAAAGAACCUUAGACAGGAACGUCUGGGAGCACCCUUCCCACUACCCCAGGCAGAGGUGACCACAGGUGGCUGCUUUUCGAAGGGCAGGCUCUGAUCGAUCCCAAGGCAGCUUCAUGCUGAACUUGUUUGGCUUAGGUCUUCACCUCCCUUCAUCCAGGAAAGCCUCAUACCCUAGUCCUUUGUGUAACACAAAAUGUUUAAUAAAUGUCAACCAACUGACCUUUCCCUUAUGACUUACACUUCUUGGCUCUUUUUGCUUGUAUACGGUGUGUGUGUGUGUGUCUGAGAACUGAACCCAGGUACUAACCAACAACAGAUUUUGCUUGCUUUUUCCUCUCAUUGAGUGC
rnacentral:lncRNA from 1 species